GACGUAGGAGGCGAGCGUUGUCCGGAUUCAUUGGGCGUAAAGAGCGCGCAGGCGGCCAUACAGGUCCGUUGUGAAAACUGGAGGCUUAACCUCCAGACGUCGAUGGAAACCGUAUGGCUAGAGUCCGGAAGAGGAGAGUGGAAUUCCUGGUGUAGCGGUGGAAUGCGCAGAUAUCAGGAGGAACACCGGUGGCGAAGGCGGUUCUCUAGUACGGUACUGACGCUGAGACGCGAAAGCGUGGGGAGCGAACAGG
rnacentral:rRNA from 1 species